rnacentral:rRNA from 1 species
CUACGGGUGGCUGCAGUGAGGAAUAUUGCACAAUGGGGGGAACCCUGAUGCAGCAACGCCGCGUGGAGGAUGACGCAUUUCGGUGUGUAAACUCCUUUUAUAUGUCAAGAAAAUGACGGUAGCAUAUGAAUAAGCACCGGCUAACUCCGUGCCAGCAGCCGCGGUAAUACGGGGGGUGCAAGCGUUACUCGGAAUCACUGGGCGUAAAGGACGCGUAGGCGGGCUUGUAAGUCAGGUGUGAAAUCCUACAGCUUAACUGUAGAACUGCACUUGAAACUACGAGCCUAGAGUAUGGGAGGGGCAGAUGGAAUUAGUGGUGUAGGGGUAAAAUCCGUAGAUAUCACUAGGAAUACCGAAAGCGAAGGCGAUCUGCUGGAACAUUACUGACGCUAAGGCGUGAAAGCGUGGGGAGCAAACGGGAUUAGAUACCCGAGUAGUC